GCCGCCUCGCCCGCUUUCUCCUCGGGCCCGUCGGCGGCGGCGGGCAGCGGCUCCUCGGGCCCGGCCAGCAGCCGGGGCGGCGGCGGCUCCCGCUCCUCCGGGGCCGCGGCGGAGGCGGCGGCGGCGGCGUCCUCGUCGUCGUCCUCCGGGAAGCGGUUGGACUCCACGUCCACCUCGGGCUCCUCGGCCGUGUCCCCCCCGGGGGAGAGCGAGCGGUAGCUGGAGCUGCCCUCGCUGAGGAAGUCCGGGGAGAGGUAGCCGGGCCCGCGGGCGGCCCCGCCGCCGCCGCCGUACGCCUCGCGGGUGCCGUAGAGCUUGGCGAUGCUCUCGGUGUCCUUCACCACCGGGCGGAAGGCGGACAGGUAGCUGCCCUUCCUGGGCAGGGGCAGCGGGCCGAGCAGCGCCUCGUCCCCGGAGCGCUCCUCCUCGCCGGCCGCCCUCGACAGCGCGCUGGAGCAGCGCUCGCCGUCGGCCCCGGAGCCCUCCUGCGGCGUGGCGCUGCUCCGCCCGCUGCCCGACGGCUCCGAGCCCUCCGGCUCGCCGUGCCGCCCCGCCAGCCCCGACGGCUCGGCCGCCGCCGCCGCCGCCGCGGCCGCCGCCGCCACCACGACGGCCGUGGCCGCCGCCUUGGCCUGGCUCUGCGCCGGGUAGGGCGGCACGGGCAGGCUGCCGGCGGCCGGCCAGAACAUGGGGAAGGACGGGUAGACGCCGCCGUCCUUGGCGGCGCCGGGCUGGUGCGGCGGCUGCGCCGGCUGGUGCGGGUGCGGGUGCGGCGGCCCCCAGAACAUCCCCGACGGCAGCGCGCCGCCCUUGCCCGGCUCGCCGCCGCCCGCGCCGCCCAGCGCGUCCUCCUGCUUCUUGGGGCACAGUCCGAAAGCGGCGGCCGGGAAGCCGUACGGGUGGGGGAAGAGCGGCGGCGGCAGCUUCUGCAGCAUGCCGAAACCCUUGCUGGGCACCGGGAUCACCGGGUAGCUGCGCACCGCGCCCGCCCCGCCGUGCGCCCCCGCCGCCCCGCCGUGCGCCGCGGGCAGCCCCAGCGCUCCGCGCUCGCCCGCCGGCUCCUG
rnacentral:lncRNA from 1 species